CAAAAACAUGUCCUUUUGAAUUUAAUAUAAGGUCUGACCUGCCCAGUGAUAAUUUCAACGGCCGCGGUAUAUUGACCGUGCAAAGGUAGCAUAAUCAUUAGUCUUUUAAUAGAGGGCUGGAAUGAAAGGUUUAACGAGGAACUGACUGUCUCAUUUUAUUUGUUUUAAAAUUUAAUUUUUUAGUUAAAAAGCUAAAAUUUUAUUGGUAGACGAGAAGACCCUAUAGAGCUUUACAUUUAAUUAAUUAAAUAUUUUUAUAUUAAUAUUUUUAUUUGAUUUUAUGUUUUGUUGGGGUGACAAAAAUAUAUAUAUAACUUUUUUAUAUUAUUUACAUUGAUUUAUGAAUAUUAGAUCCAUUAUUAUUGAUUAUUAGAUUAAGUUACCUUAGGGAUAACAGCGUAAUCCUCCCCCAGAGUUCAUAUUUACGGGAUGGGCUUGCGACCUCGAUGUUGGAUUAAGAUAAUAAUUAGGUGUAGCCGCUUAAUUAAUAGGUCUGUUCGACCUUUAAAUUCUUACAUGAUCUGAG
rnacentral:rRNA from 1 species